rnacentral:rRNA from 1 species
GGGUCAGUAGGUUGGUCGUGCCACCGGUACGUACUGGUCUCACUGAUUCCUCCUUCCUGAAGAACCGUAAUACCAUUAAUUUGGUGUUGCGGGGAAACAGGACUGUUACUUUGAAAAAAUUAGAGUGUUUAAAGCAAGCUAACGCUUGAAUACAUUAGCACGGAAUAAUGAAAUAGGACGAUCGAUCCUAUUUUGUUGGUUUCUAGGAUUGACGUA